GUGCUCCUUCGGCAGCACAUCCACUGCAAUUGGAACGAUACGGAGAAGAUUAGCGUGGCCCCUGCGCGAGGAUGACACGCGAGUUCGUGAAGCGUUCCAUGUAUUU